GUCAGCUCCGGCCUACGCAUCCUCUACGUAGGGGACCGAUGAACAUAAGUGAAUAAUCCAGUGAAAUAAAAUAAAAGAAAGCAAAAAGGCAACUCCGGUAUAGGUGACCCUCACAAAGUCAUUUAAACCAAAAAGUUUGUAAAAAUUCGUUGCAAAAAGAAAAAAAAAGAAAAAGAAAAACUCACACGCUGUCAGUUGGUUCAGAGGUAUCUGGCACUGAACUCGGUAGGGCGGAUUAU
rnacentral:lncRNA from 1 species